ACAUAAUCAAAAACAAAAACAAAAAAAAAAGGAAAAAAAAACCCAACUGCUUUCCUGGGUCCUGUAAAUGCUGUGUUUGUUUGGCAAGUUAAUUACAGGAAAAUGGUGCCUGUUUGAUAAUUUAGUUCUGAAGUCUUUUCACCUUUUUACCAUAGGUUCUAAAUUCUGAUUGGUUGGUUAAUUCCCACUCUUGUAAAAACAUUACAUACGAAUCUCCAAAAUUGUUGUAAACUGUUGAUUAAUUUCAUCACCGUGCUUAGUCAAAAUGAAAACACCAUGUACUUCAGUAGGGUUGAAGCUGUAGAAAUUCUGAUAUUUUCCUACAAAAGGUGAUCAAAUCCACCUGUCGAAACAUUCAUAUUUGUCGAGGUAGAUCUAUCAUUUUGGUUCCACCACUCGAUCGUAACCUCGCAGUCGUGUUUCUCCAUGUUAUGGUUAUACAGAGAGUUAUUUCAAACACAUCUUAAAUUUCUAGACAUAUUUUGUUGAACUUUUUCUGUUAUACUUGCUUAAACUUUUAAGCUUGCCAUGAAAUAAUAUCACAGAUGAACUUUCCACUUGUUGAGUCGGUUAUGUACUUGCGUGCGUGGGAGCACAGCUCAAACAAAGAAGAGUCUUGUCUGAAUUCAGGUCCGGCCUAUUGGCACAUUAUCCUUAACUUCUUCUAGCUGCAGGAAAGGCCAAAUAGCUCUUCCAGUGUUAAGUGCUAUUCUGAAGCCCUGUUUAAUUUACUUCUUGGUGGCGAAUGCAGUUCCUGUGUCUAGACUGGUUUCGGGUCUAGAGUAUAAGGUUAAUGCUAUCAUGCAGUAUGUUUCAAAGGGUGGCAAUGGCAUCUGUCUCUAUUUGCUUGGCGAAGUUUUGUUGAAGUUACUACCAGUACAUGUGUGCAAUUUGACUUCUUCAUUGAAGUAGCCCCACUUGGACAAGUCUUGGUUGAGGCCCAUAAACUAGUUCGUUGACCAUCAAGAAUGACACCAGAGAUAGUAAUUCAACAUGCAUAAACAUGAUCCGUUAUCAUGUCGCAGAGUUGCCGAUCACUUGAAUGUGGAGCCGCAAGAGUACCAUCGAUACGUAGAAGAUAGCUUUAUUCUUGUAGGGCCCAUUCUUCCAAUGCGAAGGUAAAAUAUUGGGUUAAGUACACUACUAGACUAGGAUGAAACCCUUUAUAUUCUGUAUUCUUGCAGGGCCUUUGUUUAAGAUUUUAUAUUUUUGUCUUAAAAUGAGUUCGUAUAGGAUGGAACUCCUAUA